rnacentral:rRNA from 1 species
GCGGUUUUAAUUGGAUUCAACGCCGAAAUCCUUACCGGGACCGACAGCAAUAUGAAGGCCAGGCUGAAGACUUUUGCCGGAUUAGCUGAGAGGUGGUGCAUGGCCGUCGUCAGUUCGUACUGUGAAGCAUCCUGUUAAGUCAGGCAACGAGCGAGACCCACGCCCACAGUUGCCAGCGUACUCUCCGGAGUGACGGGUACACUGUGGGGACCGCCGCUGCUAAAGCGGAGGAAGGAAUGGGCAACGGUAGGUCAGUAUGCCCCGAAUAUCCCGGGCUACACGCGAGCUACAAUGGUUGGUACAAUGGGUAUCUACCCCGAAAGGGGAUGGAAAUCUCCUAAAGCCAAUCUUAGUCCGGAUUGAGGGCUGCAACUCGCCCUCAUGAAGCUGGAAUCCGUAGUAAUCGCGUUUCAACAGAACGCGGUGAAUACGUCCCUGCUCCUU